rnacentral:rRNA from 1 species
UAGUGAGGUGCCGUCAAGAGGUGUAAAUUUGAAACAUCCCUAAUACAGGAUCACUUGGAUCCGUUGACGAUGACGAGCGUGAAAGAAUGCGAAAAGUC